GCGAGAGUGGCGGAAUUGGUAGACGCACUGGACUUAGAAUCCAGCACCACUGGUAUGGGGGUUCAAGUCCCCCCUCUCGCACCA
rnacentral:tRNA from 1 species